rnacentral:rRNA from 1 species
UAUUUAGCAAUGCCGGAAACGGUGACUAUGCGACCCCGCGUGUGCGAUGAAGGUCUUCGGAUUGUAAAGCACUGUCAGCUGGGAGGAAUCUCUGGAGGCUUAAUAAGCUUGCAGGGUGACAGUACCAGCAGAGGAAGCCACGGCUAACUCCGUGCCAGCAGCCGCGGUAAUACGGAGGUGGCAGGCGUUACUCGGAUUGAUUGGGUGUAAAGGGUGUGUAGGUGGUUGAUUAAGUCGAAUGUGAAAUCCCUUGGCUUAACCAAGGAACUGCAUUCGAAACUGAUCGGCUUGAGCGUCAGAGAGGAAAAUGGAAUUCACGGUGUAACAGUGAAAUGUGUAGAUAUCGUGAGGCAACACCAGUGGCGAAGGCGAUUUUCGGCUGACUGCGACACGAAACACGAGA